GACAGAGGUCCCGAGCGUUAGGCGGAAUCACUGGGCUUAAAGCGUGUGUAGGUGGAUGCCUAAGUACCUUGUGAAAUCCCACGGCUUAACCGUGGAAUUGCUUGGUAUACUGGGUGUCUUGAGCCACUUAGGGGCGAACCGGGAACAAACGGUGGAGCGGUGAAAUGCGUAGAUAUCGUUUGGAACGCCAAUGGUGAAAACAGGUUGCUGGGAGUGUGCUGACGCUGAGACACG
rnacentral:rRNA from 1 species